AGGCUUGAAACUGCAGAUAGACUGGGCGUGAUGUACUAUCAGCUUGGAUAGGACCCAAAGAACAACAUGUUUAUGUGGAAAGAAAGCCAUGGAUGAAGGAAUCAAGACUCUGUCCUGGGGUCUUGUCCUAAGAACAGGGAGGAACAGAAGAGGGAGCAUGGUGGCAUUGUUAGUUUUCAGUGGGGUGCUGAGGAUUGCCCAGGAUUUAGGGGGCCAGGUGAGGAUGACAUUCUCUGAGCCUCUUGUAUUCCUUGUGAUUUUUAGGUAUUAAGUGUGCGUUGUGAGUUAGUCGUCAUACAGAGUAUGGAGUGGAGGAGAUGAACAUUCAUGGAAAAACAUAUGCUCUCUCCAGGUUGAUGGUGCAGGAGCCUGGACGUGGAGCUCUGAAACCAGUGACAGGAUUUGCUUACACAGUAUGGUUAUGGCAAGGAGGGCUUCUUGUAGAUGUAGUGAAGGUGUUGUCCAUGAUUCCCAACUCUGCGUUGAUGCCACUGC